rnacentral:rRNA from 1 species
GACGAACGCUGGCGGCGUGCUUAACACAUGCAAGUCGAACGGAAAGGCCCUGCUUUUGUGGGGUGCUCGAGUGGCGAACGGGUGCGUAACACGUGAGUAACCUGCCCUUGACUUUGGGAUAACUUCAGGAAACUGGGGCUAAUACCGGACAGGAGCUCCUGCUGCAUGGUGGGGGUUGGAAAGUUUCGGCGGUUGCGGAUGGACUCGCGGGUUAUCAGCUUGUUGGUGGGGUAGUGGCUUACCAAGGCUUUGACGGGUAGCCGGCCUGAGAGGGUGAACGGCCACAAUGGGACUGAGGGACGGCCCAGACGCCUACGGGGGGCAACAGUGGGAAGUAUUACACAGUGGGCGGGAGCCUGAUGCGGCGACGCCGCGGGCGGGAUGACGGCCUUCGGGUUGUGAACCGCUUUCGCCUGUGACGAAGCGUGAGUGACGGUAAUGAGUAAAGAAGCACCGGCUAACUACGUG